UACGUAGGUGGCGAGCGUUGUCCGGAUUUACUGGGCGUAAAGAGCGCGCAGGCGGUCGUACAAGUCGCGUGUGAAAGCCCCCGGCUCAACUGGGGAGGGUCACGCGAUACUGUUCGACUCGAAGGCAGGAGAGGGUAGUGGAAUUCCCGGUGUAGUGGUGAAAUGCGCAGAUAUCAGGAGGAACACCGAUUGCGAAGGCAGCUCGCUGGGACGUUACUGACGCUGAGACGCGAAAGCGUGGGGAGCAAACAGG
rnacentral:rRNA from 1 species